rnacentral:rRNA from 1 species
UAGAACGGCCAUACCACCCUGAACACGUCCGAUCUAGUCUGAUCUCAGAAGCUAAGUGGGGUCAGGCCUGGUUAGUACUUGGACGAGAGAAAGGGAGCCUGGCCUUUGAUUUUG